CACGGGGGUUGCGAGCGUUGUCCGGAUUUACUGGGCGUAAAGAGCUCGUAGGCGGUUUGUCGCGUCUGCUGUGAAAAUCCGGGGCUCAACCCCGGACUUGCAGUGGGUACGGGCAGACUAGAGUGUGGUAGGGGAGACUGGAAUUCCUGGUGUAGCGGUGAAAUGCGCAGAUAUCAGGAGGAACACCGAUGGCGAAGGCAGGUCUCUGGGCCACUACUGACGCUGAGAAGCGAAAGCAUGGGGAGCGAACAGGAUUAGAUACCCGGGUAGU
rnacentral:rRNA from 1 species